AAUCAACGCUGGCGGCGUGCCUAACACAUGCAAGUCGAACGCGAAAGUCCCGCAAGGGAUGAGUAGAGUGGCAAACGGGUGAGUAACACGUGGGUGACCUGCCUUCGAGCGGGGGAGUAACGUCCCGAAACGGGACGCUAAUACCGCAUGACAUCCUGCCUUUGAAGAGGUGGAGAUCAAAGCUGGGGAGUCGCAAGACCUAGCACUUGAAGAGGGGCCCGCGUCUGAUUAGCUAGUUGGUGGGGUAACGGCUCACCAAGGCAACGAUCAGUAUCCGGCCUGAGAGGGCGGACGGACACACUGGGACUGAGACACGGCCCAGACUCCUACGGGAGGCAGCAGUGGGGAAUUGUUCGCAAUGGGCGCAAGCCUGACGACGCAACGCCGCGUGGAGGAUGAAGA
rnacentral:rRNA from 1 species